CCCAAUUACAAUCCAGAAAGACACCUCCCGCCUUCACGGGAUCAGAUGGGAGCAGAUCAAGGAGAUAGUGGUGGUCGUCGCGGUAGCUCCACCUCUUCAACUCUUCCUGAACCCUCUACCAAGUACUAGCUACACUUGAUAUGGGAGGUAAUGAUUCAUUGAACUUAGAUUUCUUCUUACGGUUGUGAUGGCUGUUGUCUAAUUAUGAUAUGCUUGGAUCCCUAGAAAAUUUUUCAUUUGAUUCAAAAUUUUCUUUUCCUUCAGUUGACGGAAAGGGAGAAAGGGAGAAAGGGAGAUGGGGAGACAGGGAGAAAGGGAGAAAGACGAUCGGCUGGUAAACUUUUAAGAAGUUUGUAUUUCCAUUUAUGCAGAAAAAGUUGUAGUAUUUUUGCUUUUGCAUGCUUCGUUUAGAGACUGGAAUGGAUCAGUGGGUAUGAGAUUGAAUGGAUCUUGAUUUCUUGAUUUCUUUUUAAGUGGAAAUGUUGAUCAAUAUGAAGAUCAUAUCACAUACGCCUCUGUCCCUCUUGUAAUUGUGUGUCUGAAAGUCCUCACAAGCCCAUCAAUGGUCUCUUGCUGUAUAAUCCUGCACUUUGAAUACCAUUACAUUGAUUUCAACCAAAAAAAACCCAGAUUCUUUUCAAUUUUCUCCAUUAUGACUUCCAGACCUGAGAAUUUCCUCAGGCAGAAGGUGUGGUCCUCCACAGGUACUACCUUGAAAAUGCAAUUUCAAAGUGAAGUGACUCGGUUCAACGCAGCCUUUGAAUUGCCCCCACCUUUGUGGGGACGUGAGCAUCUACUACUCACUGAAUCACUGAGUCAGAAUUAUCUUUUCAAAUUUUAUUUUAUUUUAUUUUUCUCCAGACCAGCUGGAAAUAUCUACGGUUGGAUCUCAUUUUAUUUUUUUAAAGAGAAAAUCAAUUUAGAAGUUAUAAAUAGGAAGACCAUGGAAUCUUUCUCCGCCGUAGAAAAACGAAGGAAAAGUCUGGAUACAGCUGUAUCUGCCGUACAACUGCCCACUUCCUCAUGCAUUUUAGCACGUGCGAGGACUCAACCCUCUAGAAUGAUCUAUAUUCCAUGUACCUUAAUUUAGGUGAUAUUUGUUAAAACUAAAAAUUAAAUACUGAAUGUAUAAAUUAGUAUUAAUCAUUAUUUAUUUUGAACUAGGUAUAAAUAAAUCAUUGGAUCUUAGGGUUAUUCAUUGGGCAUUAAUCAUUUUGGUUAUUUAGCUAUUAUGAGAGUCGUAUGUGGAGGGUUUCGAUUAUAAGUCCUUCCUUGAUGAGGAAUGCUUGCGAAAUUUGCUUGGAUGGAUGUGUAAGACCGUUUUUAAUUAAUAAUGUCUCAUCAAUAUAACGAUGAUACUAAAAAACGUAUAUUUAAUACAUUAUGAUAGGAGAGGAUGACCCAUUAAAAUAACAUGACAAGUAGCGGUCUUAGAUUAAGAUUACCGCGUUAAUCAACCUUUUGCUUUAUCCUAACAUGAUUACGAUGUCAGCUAAUUACAUACUUGCUAAUGAACUAUUCGAAAGAGAGAAGGUAUGAGAGCGUGACCCAUUAAAAUGACAUGGCAAGUGGAGGCCUUAGAUUACCGCGUUUAGCCUUUUGCUUUAUGCAUUGAUUAUAAUGUCAAUCAAUUCCAUACUUGUUAAUGAAACUCUUUGAAAAAAGAAAAGUUAGGAGAAGAUGACUGUUGUUGUAGUAUGUGACUUAUAUUAAAUGAAAAACAUAUGAAGAAAAAUGGACAAAUAUCAGCGAUAUUUGUCAUGGUCAAUGUUUGUCAUGGACAAACAUUGAUUAUAAUUCAAUGUUUAUUUUCUCAUAAUACGAUUUAGGGAUAUUUUUAAAUUUUCAUUAUUUGAAGAUUAAUAUAAAUACCUUUUUAUAUAACCUAAUUCGAAAUAUAGUGAAAGUUUUCUUUUCAAGUCCUAGACUUUGGCAUGUAAGAAAAUAAAAAAGUGAACUAUUAAAAUGACAUGAGAAGUGGGGGCUUGGAUUGCUCCUUUUUGCUUUGUAAGAAAAUAAAAAAGUGACCUAUUAAAAUGAUAUGACAAGUGGGGGCCUUAGAUUGCUCAUUUUUGUUUUAUCCUAAUUACGAUGUCAGCGAAUGACAUACUUAUUAAUGAACUCUUUAGGGAAAGCUAGAAAUAUUUAUUUCAAAUUGAGGUUAUAUUUGUCCCUUUCACAAAGUAGGGUUGUUCCUCUCACCAUCAGGUGCAUCACCCAAUGCCCAAAUCCCAUGUAUGGUGGUUUUCACCGUCAAAAAAAGGACUCAAAAGCUGUCAUAUAUGGUCUAAUAUAAUAUUUUUAUAAAUAUUUGGGACUAAAUUAUGAAUUUAUGGUCCCACACGGCUUCAACUGUGGAUAGGUCUAUUCAUGCAAACAAAAAGACUGGUACUUUUGAUAAUGAUGACUUUGAUAUGAUUUUUGAUUUAUGGUUUGUUUUGCUUUGAGAAUGGUGGGUGUUGGGAAAUUGUUUUUUUAGCCGAACGAAAAUGAUUUUUCGGGCCUCUUAAAUGCCUUUUUCACAAUUUAUUAGAAUGCUUUUACCUUUUGUGAGGGAGAAAUACGCACUCGAUAGACUACAACAUUGGCUUUCAUCUAAAAAUGGUUAAAUCAAACUUUUAUAAAAUUAUUAAAGUAUUUAUUACAAUUUAGAAGUCUAAAAAUAAUGUUUUUUAAAUAAAAAUUAGUAUUUGACGAUAUUUAGAAAACACUUUUAAAAAUUAUUUAUAAUGUUAAAAAAUAAUUUAUAAUAAUUUUUGGAGAAAUAUUUGAUAAAUGAUUUUCUUUUAGUGAAUCAAAAUCGAUUUAUAAACAUUGAGAGUUUUUUUUUAAUAUUUUUUAAAAUUAGUGGGUCAAAAAUUAAUUUUCCUUUUUCUUAAAAACACUUUAAAAAAUUAUUUUUAUUAAAAAUGUUUUGAAUAAAUAUGAUGUUCUAUAAAAAUUAUAUCAAAAGUAUAUUUGGAAUAACCUUUUUAACUUUUAGGUUUAGUGGUUGAAAAAAGAUAAAAUAAAAAUAAUUAUUAUUGCUAAAGGAUUAAAUUUUAUAUUUAAUAAUUAUAUUUGAAGAGUACUUUUAUUAAAGAUUUUUAAAAAAUUAGUUAAAUAUGGAUUUGCUUCCUAUGUCUUUUUUUUUUUUUUAAGUAAAAAACAUAGAUUUUUUUUUGAAGUGUGAAUAUUUCUUAGCCAAGUGUGGGGCCAACCUAAACAAGACUUACAAAAAUAGAUAUUUGAAAUUUAAAUUUAUUAUUUAUAAAUCAUUAUUAAUAAAAUUAUAAUUUUUUGUUUAUCAUGAUUGCAUAGUUCAAAUGGAUUUAAUAAGAAAACUAAAAAAAAUACAACCGCUUUUUCACUUUUUCUGAAUUAUAUUUUAAAUUCAUUAUUCUUUCAAUUUAAAAUCUAACAAUUAUUAAGUUUACAUAUAACUAACUCACUUCUUAAAUAUAUUUCAAUGUGCUUUUAAGGUAAAAAAAAUUAAGUAUUAAAAUUUUUAUUAUUGAAUUACAAUGGUUGAAAGUAUUUCCAAAAAUUUAAAUUUUGAAUUUAAUUGUUUUAGUAAAGAAAAAAAGUUUAAAAAUUAAGUAGCGAAGGAUUUAAUUUUGAAUUAUAAUUGCUAAAACUAUCUUUUAAAAUUUUAAAAUUUAAUUUAAUUUUUUUGACAAAGGGAAAAAAGGUUUCAAAACCAUCCAUUGUUCUUGCCAUAUUCAGUCACUAUUUGCUCAAGAACUACAAAUACGAUGUGAUAAAUCCAAAUGUUGUAGUGUUGUAUAUAAUUCAUUUAAAAUAACCUAUUUAAAUAUUUUAGUAUGUUAAUAUAACACAUACGUAGUGUUUGGUAAAAAUUAAUAUUUAUUAUUUAAUGACUUAAAUUGAUUUUAAAUUAAAUUAUAUUUAAGUUAUUAAAUUAAAAAUUAUUACUUUAUUAUUAUUUUAAAUAUUAAGGUUAUUUGAUAAAAUUAACUUAAAAUUUAUUCUAAAUCAUCAAAUUCACAUAUUUAUAAUUAUAAAUCAUAAUUUUGGUAAGGGAAGUCAAAUAACAAUGAAGAUCGUGGAAUAGCGAAAAAUAUCAUGAAGAUAACUAGGGCAAAUUGUGAUAAAAAAAGUAAAAUGAAGAUGUAGAUUUAAGAAUAAUUUAAUUAUUUUUACUUAUUACCUAAAGUUAUUUUUUACUUUAAGUCAUGUCAUUAAGUUAUUUUAUUAGAUAUGCUUAAUUUACUUAAUGACUUAAAUUAAGUUAUUAAAUUAUUUUAAGUUAUUAAGUUGGUUUACCAAAUAUUUACUUAUCUUAUCAUAAAAGGUCCAAUACAUAAAUUUCAUGAAUUUAUUUAUUCAAUUUUAGUAAAACAAUUUUAAUUUUAUAUCUACAUAUUAUAAAAGAUGCAAAAUAAAGUUGAUAAUUAACCUAAAGUCUACAAAAUAUGCAAAAUUCAAUUCAAAAGCCAACAAAAUUAGACCCAAAGAGGCCAUCUUUAUCACUUUAGGGGUCGGGGGUAAAUGGGGAAGGAGGUAGGGAUGGUUAGGGGGUAGGCAUACAACCAAGUCAAAGUAGUUUAUAAUUGACUCUCAAAGGCAUUGUUAUCAUUUGAAUGAUAUAAGUCCAUGGCCUAUUUUUGGUUCACUCGAAACUUUAGCAACCAUCAUAAGAGGUGUGAUAUACAUGCACCCAUUUCAAGGGGGUGCAACACUUCUCAGUUUGGGCCUCAUAUUUACCUGAUAUGCCAUCGUUGUAUAGUGGCGCAAUGUUACAUGUGAAUCCACUUUGGGAGGACAUCAUACAAAAGUUGUACAAAUUAGGACUUUAGUAUGGUUCUAUUUUGUUCAUCUAAUUGGAGAUUAUGUUUUUUUUUGCUUUUUUUUUUUUAGCUUCUUAUCAUUCUUCCUUGACAUACGAUAAAGAUUGGAGAUGCAUGGAUCUCAAAAGGGAUGAGUUUUAGAUGGAAAGGGCUCUCUUUGAAGGAAGAUUCUUUAGUUUUGUAAGCUAAAAUAGCUAGUUAAAGGCAAAAUGUGAUAUCCCAUAUCAAAUAAGAGAAAAAAUUAUCGGUACUAUAUAUGUAUAAACUUAUUUUAAUCUUGUAAAAGCGUUUUAAAGUUGUGAAGACCUUUUUGGGUUUAGAACAAAUAAUAUCUACAUAAUUGAGUGUAAGUUGUUACUAAUAUUAUCAGAGUCAAUCUUCUACUCUGGUGUAAGGAUUUGUUUGGCCCGUGGGUGAACCUAUUAUUGUACCCUUUGUGCAAGACAACAUACACAUACAUGUCAUAUCGAAUAUGGAUCAUUAACAUGUAUGUCUAAAUUUGAUUGGUUGAAUGGACUAACAUAGAGAAGAGACAUAAAGAAAUCAAACCAAUAUCAAAAACAAAUAAAAAAAAAGUCACUAUUGAAAAAUAAAACCUAUAAAACAAGGGUAUUAUUUUUUAUAUUACUAAAAAAAACUCCUUGGAUUACCAAUGGGACGAGUUUUUUCGGGCACCCAUCCCGUCCCGUCCCUAAUGGGACGAGAUUCAAUUUUAAUAAACGGGUUUGAGAUUUAUUUUAAAAACCCAGGACGGAUUCGAAUAUUGCCUCGUCUCAUCUCGAUUAUAUAUAAAAUUAAUUUAAUUUAAUUUUUAUUUUACUAUUUUUAAUAUAUAGAUGAUAAUGAAAUAUUUUUAAUAAAAUAAAUUAUAAAAAAUAUAAUAAUUUAAUUAUUUAUAAAAUAUAUUUUAUUUUAAUAUAAUUAAAAAUUUUAAAAGUAAUUUAAAAAAAUUCAAAAAGAAAAGUUUAAUGGAUGGGAUAUGGAAUUUAUUAUAUUCAUCCAUCCUAUUUAAUUUUUUAAAUGGGAUGAGAACGAGAAUUAUUUUAAAUUAACGGCGGGGUUCGGAUGGGGGACUCGUACCCAUUCCUAGCUUUGCUUGCUUUCCCAUCCUUUGUUUCUAUGUGUGUCGAGAGGGUCAACAAAAUUGGAGCUUGGAAAUGCCAAUUUUACCCUAGAGCAAGCAUUAAACAGGUGGCGGUAGAAGCGUACAAGAGCCGGAAUCGUCUUCACCCAGAAAUUGCUUUAAGCCGUCUAAUGCCAAUUUUACCCUAAAGCAAGCAUUAAACACGUGCCGUUAGAAGCGUACAAAGCCGGAGUCGUCUUCACCAUUGGGAUCCAUAUCUUUCACUAGGCAGGACUUAGGAGUAUUGUGGGCGCCUAUUUUGGGAUAUAUAAAAUAGAAGAGAAAACACGUGAGGAAAAAUCACCCACUGGGAGUUAGGGAGUUAGUACCGUAACUGUAAUUAAUAACGGCGGUCCCCACAGAAUAUUCUGCCCUCAUCCGAGUUCAUUGUCUCACCAACUCAGUUGCUUGGAAGCCAAGUUUCCGAGUUCACCCUCCACUGCUUCGCUUACAUAUUCUUCUCUUCACUCCCCUCUCUUUCAGAGAUCCAGAGCUCAAUCUUGUGAUUUGGCUCUGUCUUUUGGGUUUUCGUUCUCUGUUUCUCCCUUCUUCUCCAAAGGGGUUCGCCUCUCGAUCCUCUGUUUCUUGGUUUCCAUCCCCUCUGUUCUUUACUCUUUACUCCCUACUCCUCCUCUCUACUCCCUCUUCUCUCUCUUCACUUGGGGAUCGCGAAGUUAAUCGUCGGAUUCGCUUUCUUCCUAGGGUUUCAAAAUUUCUAUCCCCUGUUUUUGGUGUCUUCUCCUCCUCACUCCAUUCAGUGGUUUUCUCUGUUUCCUGGGUUUCAUCCCCUGUUUUCCCCUAAUGCCAAUUUUACCCUAAAGCAAGCAUUAAACGCGUGCCGUUAGAAGCGUACAAAGCCGGAAUCGUUUUCACCAUUGGGAUCCAUAUCUUUCACUAGGCAGGACUUGGGAGUAUUGUGGGCUCCUCUUUUGGGACAUAUAUAGCGCACCAAACACCCUCGAGGAUCAUCCCCCGUUUCCAAAGGAUUCCACGCCUCAAUCCCUGUUUCUUUCUGCUCCGUUUCUUCAGCAAUGGAAACUGCAGUCUCCAGUAAUCCCAAUUACAAUCCAGGAAGACACCUCCCUCCUCAACAGAGAGGAGGGAUCAAAAAACAGAUAUUCAAAGACUUUCUCGAAUAUGUUAGUGCCAUCGCGCUUUUACUGGGCCAGAUGGAAGCAAAUCAAGGGGAUAGUGGCGGUCGUCGCCUUAGCUCCGCCUCCGCACCUCUUCCUGAAAUCCCUCCUGGCUACACUUCAGAUCUGAGGCGUUGAUUCAUUAAAUUAGAUUUGGCGAUGGUUGUCUUUUGAUAUAUGCUUGGAUGCCGAGAAAAUUUCACAUUUCAUUCCAAUUUCUCCCUUCCUUCAGUUUGACAGAUCUGAGGAAAGUCGAUCGACGAUCGACGAUCGGAAGCGUUAUGAUUGGGUACUGUCCUCCAUGCCUGUAUAUAAAUCCAGAAAUCUUCUUGUAGAAACUUUGUAUUUUCACUUUGUACAUACUUCGUUAAUAAAGUGGAAUGAAUCAAUCAAUGUAUUAUUUGUAGGACCCCUCCCUCUGGGAAACACGUGGCACGCACCUCACAGUGACACGUGGCACGUGUUAUCAGCCGGACCAUCAUCAUCCGGAUUCCCCUAAGGAUACGCAUGAUGAUGGUUCUCCUAUCCGGACCGCCUCAAGGAAAAGCAAAUGACGUUUCAAUUUCUCCUAUCCAAGGAAGAGCAAAUGUCCCUGGCAAAACAUAGACAUCCGGACAACCUUCAUAAUGCAUCCACUCCAUAAUACAUCCGGAUAAUCAGCAUGUAUCGUCCGGAUAUAAUCGUCCGGAUGAUCAAUUAAAGUAAAACGAGUCUCACACGCUAUCACAACGAACAGUCAUGGCCCACAUCCCAUCAUCUGCAGAGUGAGAAGACAAGAUGAAGUGACAGCAAGUCACUUCCCACGAUCAUUCUACAUAAUCACUUCUCACGAUCUCUAACAGCCGCAUCACCUACCAUGGUUUCUGACAGCCGUUCGUAGGGUGAUGAUGCUCCUACUGACGCCUAUUAUCAUCAUAACAACAUAAAAUAUCUUCUCACCAUUAAUGAGGAGAACAGUACCCCUGAAGCUGUAUAUAUAAAGCCUUCAGACAAAGAAGAAGGCGAUCCGCUGGUAACCUCCUGAUACCUAGUAAAAGGCCAACUGAUGUAUAUCUCUCUCUGACCAUGGCUAACAAAACCAUCAGAGGGUGCGUCCGGACACCCUGUCCGGAUGCCUUCUUGCAGGUAUAACGGCUGGAUCAAGAACCUUUAUGGGUUGAAAUCACGCGUCCAUCCAUCUGGCAACUACGUGGAUCAUCAAAGACGCGAGGUACCAACAUUAUUGAUUUCUGGAUUUCUGUGAUAUGAAAUGCGUCCAUGAAUUUGCAAAUGAAUCCGAAGAUCAUCUAUGCCACCGCCUCCUUCACUCUUCCAAAUUGUUUUCGCUUUAUAAUUGUGCAUAAUUCAGUUUUGAGCUGCCAAAAUCUCGUAGGGACACUUUCAAUUAUGCACUGAGUCAGUAUUGUCUUUUCAAAUUUUAUUUUAUUUUAUUUUUCUCCAGGCCAGCUGGAAAUAUCUCCGGUUGGAUUUCAUUUCAUUUUUUUUAAGAGAAAAUCAAUUUAGAAGUUAUAAAUAGGAAGACCAUGGAAUCUUCCUCCGCCGUAGACAAACGAGGGAAAAGUCUGGAUACAACUGUAUCUGCCGUACAACUACCUACUUCCUCAUGCAUUUUAGCACGUGCGAGAACUCAACCCUGUAGAAUGAUCUAUAUUCCAUGUACCUUAAUUUAGGUGAUAUUUGUUAAAACUAAAAAUUAAAUACUGAAUGUAUAAAUUAGUAUUUAUCAUUAUUUAUUUUGAAUUAGGUAUAAAUAAAUCAUUGGAUCUUAGGGUUAUUCAUUGGGCAUUAAUCAUUUUGGUUAUUUAGCUAUUAUGAGAGUUGUAUGUGGAGAGUUUCGACUAUAAGUCCUUCCUUGAUGAGGAAUGCUUGCGAAAUUUGUUUGAAUGAAUGUGUAAGACCAUUUUUAAUUAAGAAUGUCUCAUCAAUAUAACAAUGAUACUAAAAAACGUAUAUUUAAUACGUUAUGAUAGGAGAGGGUGACCCAUUAAAAUAACAUGACAAGUAGCGGUCUUAGAUUAAGAUUACCGCAUUUAUCAACCUUUUGCUUUAUCCUAACAUGAUUACGAUGUCAACCAAUUACAUACUUGCUAAUGAACUAUUCGAAAGAGAGAAGGUAUGAGAGCGUGACCCAUUAAAAUGACAUGGCAAGUAGAGGCCUUAGAUUACCGCGUUUAGCCUUUUGCUUUAUGCAUUGAUUAUAAUGUCAAUCAAUUACAUGUUAAUGAAACUCUUUGAAAAUGAAAAGUUAAGAGAGGAUGGUUGUUGUUGUAGUAUGUGGCUUAUAUCGAGUGAAAAACAUAUAGCGAAAAAUGGAUAAAUAUUAUAGCGGAGUAAUAUUUGUCAUGGUCAACGCCUUCCUCUUCUCACAAUAUGGUUUAUGGGUAUUUUUGAAAUUUCAUUUCUUAAAGAUUAAUAUAAAUACCUUUUUAUGUAAUCUUAAUUUGAGAUAUCGUGAAAUUUUUUUUUUCAAGUCCCUAUUAAAAUGACAUGACAAGUGGGGACCUUAGAUCACUCCUUUUUGCUUGAUCCUAGCAUGAUUACGAUGUUAGUCAAUUACAUACUUAUUAAUGAACUCUUUAAGGAAAGCUAGACAUAUUUAUUUCAAAUUGAGGCUAUAUUUGUCCCUUUUACAAAGUAGGGUUGUUUGUUACAUCAAGUGCAUCACCCAAUGCCCAAAUCCCAUGUAUGGUGGUUUUCACCGUCAAAAAAUGACUCAAAAGCUAUCAAUUUUUAUGAAUAUUUGGGACUAAAUUAUGAAUUUAUGGUCCCACGCGGCUUCAAAUGCGGAUAGGUCUAUUCAUGCAAACAAAAGGACUAGUACUUUUGAUAAUGAUGGCUUUGAUAUGAUUUCUGAUUUAUGGUUUGUUUUGCUUUGAGAAUGGUGGGUGGUGGGAAAUUGUUUUUUUAGCCGAACGAAAAUGAUUUUUCAGGCCUCUUAAAUGCCUUUUUCAUAAUUUAUUGGAAUGCUUUUAUCUUUUGUGAGGGAGAAAUACGCACUCGAUAGAUUACAACAUUGGCUUUCAUCUAAAAAUGGUUAAAUCAAACUUAUAAAAGUAUUAAAGUAUUUAUUACAAUUUAAAAGUCUAAAAAAAUGUUUUUUAAAUAAAAAUUAGUAUUUGACGAUAUUUAAAAAACACUUUUAAAAAUUAUUUAUAAUGUUAGAAAAUAAUUUAUAGUGAUUUUUGGAGAAAUAUUCUAUAAAUGAUUUUUUUUAAUGAAUCAAAAUCGAUUUAUAAAAGUUGAGAGUUUUUUUUUUAAUAUUUUUUUAAAUUAGUGAGUCAAAAAUUAAUUUUCCUUUUCUUAAAACACUUUAAAAAAUUAUUUUUAUUAAAAAUAUUUUGAAUAAAUAUGAUGUUCUAUAAAAAUUAUAUCAAAAGUAUAUUUGGAAUAACCUUUUUAACUUUUAGGUUUAGUGGUUGAAAAAAGAUAAAAUAAAAAUAAUUAUUAUUGCUAAAUGAUUAAAUUUUAUAUUUAAUAAUUAUAUUUGAAGAGUACUUUUAUUAAAAAAAAUUUAAAAAUUAGUUAAAUAUGGAUUUGCUUCCUAUGUCUUUUUUUUUUUUUAAGUGUGAAUAUUUCUUAGCCAAGUGUGGGGCCAACCUAAACAAGACUUACAAAAAUAGAUAUUUGAAAUUUAAAUUUAUUAUUUAUAAAUCAUUAUUAAUAAAAUUAUAAUUUUUUGUUUAUCAUGAUUGCAUAGUUCAAAUGGAUUUAAUAAGAAAACUAAAAAAAAAUACAACCACUUUUUCACUUUUUGUGAAUUAUAUUUUAAAUUCAUUAUUCUUUCAAUUUAAAAUCUAACAAUUAUUAGGUUUAUAUAUAACUAACUCACUUCUUAAAUAUAUUUCAAUGUGCUUUUAAGGUUAAAAAAAAAUUAAGUAUUAAAAUUUUUAUUAUUGAAUUACAAUGGUUGAAAGUAUUUCCAAAAAUUUAAAUUUUGAAUUUAAUUGUUUUAGUAAAGAAAAAAAGUUUAAAAAUUAAGUAGUGAAGGAUUUAAUUUUGAAUUAUAAUUGCUAAAACUAUCUUUUAAAAUUUAAAAUUUUCAUUUCAUUUAUUUGACAAAGGAAAAAAAGGUUUCAAAACCAUCCAUUAUUCUUGCCAUAUUCAGUCACUAUUUGCUUAAGAACUACAAAUACGAUGUGAUAAAUCCACAUGUUAUAUGUUGUAUAUAAUUAAUUUAAAAUAACUUAUUUAAAUUUUUUAGUAUGUUAAUAUAACACUUACGGGGUGUUUGGUAAAAAUUAAUAUUUAUUAUUUAAUGACUUAAAUUGAUUUUAAAUUAAAUUAUAUUUAAGUUGUUAACUUAAAAAUUAUUACUUUAUUAUCACUUUAAGUAUCAAGGUUAUUUGAUAAAAAUAACUUAAAAUUUAUUCUAAAUCAUCAAAUUGACAUAUUCAUAAUUAUAAAUUAUAAUUAUGGUAAGGGAAGUCAAAUAACAAUGAAGAUCGUGGAAUAGCGAAAAAUAUCAUGAAGAUAACUGGGGCAAAUUGUGAUAAAAAAAUAAAAUGAAGAUGUAGAUUUAAGAAUAAUUUAAUUAUUUUUACUUAUUACCUAAAGUUAUUUUUUACUUUAAGUAAUGUCAUUAAGUUAUUUUAUUAGAUAUGCUUAAUUUACUUAAUGACUUAAAUUAAAUUAUUAAAUUAUUUUAAGUUAUUAAGUUGGUUUACCAAAUAUUUACUUACCUUAUCAUAAAAGGUCCAAUACAUAAAUUUUAUGAAUUUAUUUAUUCAAUUUUAGUAAAAUAAUUUUAAUUUUAUAUCUACAUAUUAUAAAAGAUGCAAAAUAAAGUUGAUAAUUUAACCUAAAGUCUACAAAAGAUGCAAAAUCCAAUUCAAAAGCCAACAAAAUUAGACCCAAAGAGCCUAUCUUUACCACUUUAGGGGUUGUGGAUAAAUGGGGAAGGAGGUAGGGAUGGUUUGGGGGUAGGCAUACAACCAAGUCAAAGUAGUUUAUAAUUGACUCUCAAAGGCAUUGUUAUCAUUUGGUUGAUAUAGGUCCAUGGCCUAUUUUUGGUUCACUCGAAACUUUAGCAACCAUCAUAAAAGGUGUGAUAUACAUGCACCCAUUUCAAGGGGGUGCUACACUUCUCAGUUUGGGCCUCAAAUUUACUUGAUAUGCCAUCGUUGUAUAGUGGCGCAAUGUUAUAUGUGAAUCCACUUUGGGAGGACAUCAUACAAAAGUUGUACAAAUUAGGACUUUAGUAUAGUUCUAUUUUGUUCAUCUAAUUGGAGAUUAUGUUACUUUUUGCUCUCUUUUUUAGCUUCUUAUCAUUCUUCUUGGACAUACGAUAAAGAUUGAAGAUGCAUGAAUCUCAAAAGGGAUUGAGUUUUAGAUGAAAAUGGCUCUCUUUGAAGGAAGAUUCUUUAGUUUUGUAAGCUAAAAUAGCUAGUUAAAGACAAUAUGUAAUAUCCCACAUCAAAUAAGGGAGAAAGUUUUCGACACUAUAUAUGUAUAAACUUAUUUUAACCUUGUAAACACGUUUUAGCCAAUCUUUGAUCCUAGUAUAAGGGUUUGUUUGGCCCUAUAAGGGGUGUGUCUAUUUGACCCCAUAAUACCAUAGGACACAAUAAAAACGUUGUAUUUGCAUGAGGAGUGAUAGUAAUAUCAUAUAUCGGAUGAAGGAAAAAGUUUCUAACGCUAUAUAUGUAUGAGUUCCUCUUAAUCUUGUAAAUGGUUUUUAAAGCUGUGAGGAUCUCCUUGGGUUUAGAAUGAAUAAUAUAUAUACGAUUGGGUGUAAAUCAUUACAUCAAAGACUAUGUUUUCAUAAACUUUGAGUCAAAGAGAGGCAAAUGCAAUAGAUAGGCUUCGAUCAUCAAUGAAGCAAAGAUCCCACUUCACGUGACUAGAGAGGUAGAUAAUGAACCCACAAUACUUUCAAUGAAAGAGAAGGUAGUAAUUAACUAGGUUCACCCAAUUUGGACAAGAAAAUGAAUAGUUAGUGUAGAGUAGGUUUGCAUGUUGGGCAUUCUUGGAAUCAUUGAUUUCCUCUAUGUUGAUAGAUCCUUUAUAUUUGACUUGAUGAAAUCACACUAUUGAGUGAACUUCUUUUUUAUGUUCCUCUUAAAAUUCCUAAUGUCUUUUACUUCAAUCUAAAAUGUAUUUUUUCAAUCACUUUGUUAUCAUUAUGAAAGUACAAUGAGAGAGUGAUUAUGGACCAUCCUGAUCUACGAAACCUUAGUGGAAGAAGAGGAGGGUUCACAUCACUUGCCAUAGUAUUAAGCUUGGAACCAAUCUCUACUUCUCAACUAUCCAACUUAUUUCUCUCAUGCCCCUUCCAUAUAAUAUUUGUCAAGUUGACUUUCUUACUAAGUUACCAAAUAAGAUAAUUUGUAAAGUUCUACUAAGUUAUUAAAUAAGACAAUUUGUAAAGUUGCAUUACAAAGUAAUUGGAAAACAAAGAUAUGGGUGAACCUACUAUAGUACCUUUUGUGCAAGACAACAUACACAUGCAUAUCAUAUCGAAUAUGAAUCUUUAAUAUGUAUGUCUAAAUUUGAGUGGUUGAAUGGACUACAUAGAAAAGAGAGAGAGACUAAGACAUAAAGAAAUCAAACCAAUAUUAAAAAAAAAAAUUAAAAUUUAAAAUCUCUAUUAAAAAAUAAAACCUAUAAAACAAGGGUAUUAUUUUUUAUACUGCUGAAAAAAGCUCCUUGGAUUACCUUUGCUUUGCUUGCUUUCCCAUCCUUUGUUUCUAUGUGUGUCGAGAGGGUCAACAAAAUUGGAGCUUGGAAAUGCCAAUUUUACCCUAGAGCAAGCAUUAAACAGGUGGCGGUAGAAGCGUACAAGAACCGGAAUCGUCUUCACCCAGAAAUUGCUUUAAGCCACCUAAUGCCAAUUUUACCCUAAAGCAAGCAUUAAACACGUGCCGUUAGAAGCGUACAAAGCCGGAGUCGUCUUCACCAUUGGGAUCCAUAUCUUUCACUAGGCAGGACUUAGGACUAUUGUGGGCGCCUAUUUUGGGAUAUAUAAAAUAGAAGAGAAAACACGUGAGGAAAAAUCACCCACUGGGAGUUAGGGAGUUAGUACCGUAACUGUAAUUAAUAACGGCGGUCCCAACAGAAUAUUCUGCCCUCAUCCGAGUUCAUUGUCUCACCAACUCAGUUGCUUGGAAGCCAAGUUUCCGAGUUCACCCCCCACUGCUUCGCCUACAUAUUCUUCUCUUCACUCCCCUCUCUUUCAGAGAUCCAGAGCUCAAUCUUGUGAUUUGGCUCUUUCUUUUGGGUUUUCGUUCUCUGUUUCUCCCUUCUUCUUCUCCAAAGGGGUUCGCCUCUCGAUCCUCUGUUUCUUGGUUUCCAUCCCCUCUGUUCUUUACUCUUUACUCCCUACUCCUCCUCUCUACGCCCUCUUCUCUAUCUUCACCAGGGGAUCGCGAAGUUAAUCGUCGGAUUCGCUUUCUUCCUGGGGUUUCAAAUUUUCUAUCCCCUGUUUUUGGUGUCUUCUCCUCCUCACUCCAUUGAGUGGUUUUCUCUGUUUCCUGGGUUACAUCCCCUGUUUUCCCCUAAUGCCAAUUUUACCCUAAAGCAAGCAUUAAACGCGUGCCGUUAGAAGCGUACAAAGCCGGAAUCGUCUUCACCAUUGGGAUCCAUAUCUUUCACUAGGCAGGACUUAGGAGUAUUGUGGGCGCCUGUUUUGGGACAUAUAUAGCGCACCAAACACCCUCGAGGAUCAUCCCCCGUUUCCAAAGGAUUCCACGCCUCAAUCCCUGUUUCUUUCUGCUCUGUUUCUUCAGCAAUGGAAACUGCAGUCUCCAGUAAUCCCAAUUACAAUCCAGGAAGACACCUCCCUCCUCGACAGAGAGGAGGGAUCAAAAAACAGAUAUUCAAAGACUUUCUUAAAUAUGUUAGUGCCAUCGCGCUUUUACUGGGCCAGAUGGAAGCAAAUCAAGGGGAUAGUGGCGGUCGUCGCCUUAGCUCCGCCUCCGCACCUCUUCCUGAAAUCCCUCCUGGCUACACUUCAGAUCUGAGGCGUUGAUUCAUUAAAUUAGAUUUGGCGAUGGUUGUCUUUUGAUAUAUGCUUGGAUGCCGAGAAAAUUUCACAUGUCAUUCCAAUUUCUCCCUUCCUUCAGUUUGACAGAACUGAGGAAAGGCGAUCGACGAUCGACGAUCGGAAACGUUAUGAUUGGGUACUGUCCUCCAUGCCUGUGUAUAUAAAUCCAGAAAUCUUCUUGUAGAAACUUUGUAUUUUCACUUUGUACAUACUUCGUUAAUAAAGUGGAAUGAAUCAAUCAAUGUAUUAUUGAUUUCUGGACUUCUGUGAUAUGAAAUGCGUCCAUGAAUUUGCAAAUGAAUCCGAAGAUCAUCUAUGCCACCGCCUCCUUCACUCUUCCAAAUUGUUUUCGCUUUAUAAUUGUGCAUAAUUCAGUUUUGAGCUGCCGUUGGUUGCCAAAAUCUCGUAGGGACACUUUCAAUUAUUCACUGAAUCAUCCAUGGUUCUUGCUAUCUCAGAUUGAAUUUUUUUUUCCCUUUUAGGGAAAUGCAUUUAUGUUUCUUAAAUUCUUUUGCAUAUAGGUUAAAGAUUUAUUUAUUUUCAAUUAGAAGUGUAAUGACUCCGAAGUUCCUUCCAAAUAUCUGGAACCCAACUGAAAAUUGCAAUGUUUGGAGAAUAAAACCCCAUCUAACUGGGGGAAUUUUCGUGGAAGAUUAAAAAAUAAAUAAAUUUUUGAAAUUUUUUUAAAUAUAUAUAUAUAAAAUGAAAUCCAAGUUGCGAAAUUCAGCCUUCUAGAAUGAUAUUUCUUUGUUGUUAAGUAAAGUAUAAAAUGGGUUGUAACUGGAUUUUUUUUACUUCGGAAGAUGACGAACAACAUGUGUCAUAAUAAAAAAAGACCCUCUUGUCCUUUGUGGUUGAAUCCUGUUGGGGGCUGAGUUCAGUCCAUCCCAAUCAUAAGUUGUCUUUUUGGGAAAUCCAAAGAAAAUUUAUAACUUUACGUUAAAAGUAAAAAAAUUAAAAACCAACAAUUCUCUUCUCUUUGAAUGUAGGCACUUUAAAUAAGGCUUCUCUGGAGACUUUAAGUUAAUGAAGACAAAGAAUAUAGAAGUUAAAUGAUCAAAGCUAAAUUAAUUUUACAUUCCUACACACCCUACAAACACAAUGGUCACGGCUCAUAAAUUUUUUUUCCCAAAUUGAAGAGUAUAAUAAUUUUUAUAAAAUUUUCCAAGCGAGGGAAUUUGAUUCAAAAAGCGGUGAUUAAUGAAAAAGGAUCAUAUAACAAAAAAAAAAAAAGUCAAUUUAUUAGUGCCUUGAGUAAAAUAUUUCAAUUUGAAGAGAAAACACGUGAGGAAAAAUCACCCACUGGGAAGUUAGGGAGUUAGGGAGUUAGUACCGUAACUGUAAUGAAUUACGGCGGUCCACACAGAAUAUUCUGCCCUCAUGACUCAUCCGAGUUCAUUGUCUCACCAAGUCAGUUGCUUGGAAGCCAAGUUUCCGAGUUCAGCCCACUGCUUGGCCUACAUAUUCUUCUCUUCACUCACCUCUCUUUCAGAGAUCCACAGCUCAAUCUUGUGAUUUUGCUCUUUCUUUUGGGUUUUCGUUCUCCAUUUCUCCCUUCUUCUCCGAAGGGGUUCGCCUCUCGAUCCUCUGUUCUUUACUCUUUACUCCCUACUUCUCCUCUCUACGCCCUCUUCUCUCUCUUCACCGAGGGAUCGCGAAGUUAAUCGUCGGAUUCGCUUUCUUCCUGGGGUUUCAAAAUUUCUAUCCCCUGUUUUUGGUGUCUUCUCCUCCUCACUCCAUUCAGUGGUUUUCUAUGUUUCCUGGGUUUCAUCCCCUGUUUUCCCCUAAUGCCAAUUUUACCCUAAAGCAAGCAUUAAACGCGUGCCGUUAGAAUCGUACAAAGCCAGAAUCGUCUUCACCAUUGGGAUCCAUAUCUUUCACUAGGCAGGACUUAGGAGUAUUGUGGGCGCCUGUUUUGGGAUAUAUAUAGCGCACCAAACACCCUCGAGGAUCAUCCCCCAUUUCCAAAGGAUUCCACGCCUCAAUCCCUGUUUCUUUCUGCUCUGUUUCUUCAGCAAUGGAAACUGCAGUCUCCAGUAAUCCCAAUUACAAUCCAGGAAGACACCUCCCUCCUCAACAGAGAGGAGGGAUCAAAAAACAGAUAUUCAGAGACUUUCUCAAAUAUGUUAGUGCCAUCGCGCUUUUACUGGGCCAGAUGGAAGCAAAUCAAGGGGAUAGUGGCGGCCGUCGCGUUAGCUCCGCCUCCGCACCUCUUCCUGAAAUCCCUACUGGCUACACUUCAGAUCUGAGGCGUUGAUUCGUUAAUUAGAUUUGGCGAUGGCUGUCUUUUGAUAUAUGCUUGGAUGCCGAGAAAAUUUCACAUUUCAUUCCAAUUUCAUUCCAAUUUCUCCCUUCCUUCAGUUUGACAGAACUGAGGAAAGUCGAUCGACGAUCGACGAUCGGAAGCGUUAUGAUUGGGUACUGUCCUCCCCUGUAUAUAAAUCCAGAAAUCUUCUUGUAGAAACUUUGUACUUUCACUUUGUACAUACUUCGUUAAUAAAGUGGAAUGAAUCAAUCAAUGUAUUAUUGAUUUCUGGAUUACUGUGAUAUGAAAUGCGUCCAUGAAUUUGCAAAUGAAUCCGAAGAUCAUCUAUGCCACCGCCUCCUUCACUCUUCCAAAUUGUUUUCGCUUUAUAAUUGUGCAUAAUUCAGUUUUGUGCUGCCGUUGGUUGCCAAAAUCUCGUAGGGACACUUUCAAUUAUGCACUGAAUCAUCCAUGGAAUCCACCAAACCGGCAAUUCCUAUACAUGGUUCUUGCUAUCUCAGAUUGAAAUUUUUUUUUUCCCUUUGAGGGAAAUGCAUUUAUGUUUCUUAAAUUCUUUUGCAUAUAGGUUAAAGAUUUAUUUAUUUUCAAUUAGAAGUGUAAUGACUCCGAAGUUCCUUCCAAGUAUCUGGAACCCAACUGAAAAUUGCAAUGUUUGGAGAAUAAAAUCGCAUCUAACUGGGGGAAUUUUCGUGGAAGAUUAAAAAAUAAAUAAAAUUUUGAAUUUUUUUAAUAUAUGUAUAUAUAUAUAUAUAUAAAAUGAAACCCACGUUGCGAAAUUCAGCCUUCUAGAAUGAUAUUUCUUUGUUGUUAAGUAAAGUAUAAAAUGGGUUGUAACUGGAAAUGUUAUUUUAUUUUAUUUUUAUAGGCGUUACUCAUUUUUAUUUUAUUUUUUUUUACUUCAGAAGAUGACGAACAACAUGUGUCAUAAUAAAAAUACCCUUUUGUCCUUUGUGGUUGAAUCCUGUUGGGGGCUGAGUUCAGUCCAUCCCAAUCAUAAGUUGUCUUUUUGGGAAAUCCAAAGAAAAUUUAAAACUUUAUGUUAAAGUAAAAAAAUUAAAAACCAACAAUUCUCUUCUCUUUGAAUGUCGGCAUUUUAAAUGAGGCUUCUCUCGUGACUUUAAGUUAAUGAAGACAAAGAAUAUAGAAGUUAAAUGAUCAAAGCUAAAUUAAUUUUACAUUCCUACACACCCUACAAAACAAUGGUCACGGCUCUUAAAUUUUUUUUCCCAAAUUGAAGGGUAUAUUAAUUUUUAAAAUUUUUUCCAAGUGAGGGAAUUUGAUUCAAAAAGCGGU
rnacentral:lncRNA from 1 species